UACGAGUGGUGCAAGCGUUAUUCGGAAUCAUUGGGCGUAAAGGGUGUGUAGACGGCUUACUAAGUCAACUGUUUAAUUCUCCGGCUUAACCGGAGGCCAGCGGUAGAAACUGAUAGGCUAGAGGGUGGAAGAGAGAAGUGGAAUUCUCGGAGUAGCGGUAAAAUGCGUAGAUCUCGAGAGGAACACCAAUGGCGAAGGCAGCUUCUUGGUCCACACCUGACGUUGAGCCACGAGAGCGUGGGGAGCAAACAGG
rnacentral:rRNA from 1 species